rnacentral:rRNA from 1 species
CCUACGGGUGGCAGCAGUGAGGAAUAUUGGUCAAUGGACGCAAGUCUGAACCAGCCAUGCCGCGUGCAGGAAGACGGCUCUAUGAGUUGUAAACUGCUUUUGUACGAGGGUAAACUCAGAUACGUGUAUCUGUCUGAAAGUAUCUUACGAAUAAGGAUCGGCUAACUCCGUGCCAGCAGCCGCGGUAAUACGGAGGAUUCAAGCGUUAUCCGGAUUUAUUGGGUUUAAAGGGUGCGUAGGCGGUCGGAUAAGUUAGAGGUGAAAGCCCGAGGCUCAACUUUGGAAUUGCAUUUGAUACUGUUCGGCUAGAGAGUAGUUGCGGUAGGCGGAAUGUAUGGUGUAGCGGUGAAAUGCUUAGAGAUCAUACAGAACACCGAUUGCGAAGGCAGCUUACCAAGCUACUUCUGACGUUGAGGCACGAAAGCGUGGGGAGCAAACAGGAUUAGAUACCCGUGUAGUC